rnacentral:SRP_RNA from 1 species
CCGCGCAGCCGGGGUGUUGGCAAGCCUUGUUCCUGCAGCCGGCAGGGGUGAUAUGCCUUCCGAGGGUCGCUGAAAGACGGACCGAAGAUGUUUUUCGGUCUCACGCAAUAGAAGUUGUGAACCGUGUCAGGUCGGGAACGAAGCAGCACUAAGCAAUCCCUCUAUGUGCCGUGAGAGCGCCGGGAAGCAUGGCCGUCCUUGGUGGAUUCGAAGGGGCAUGCGCGG